AGGGCACCACCAGGAGUGGAGCCUGCGGCUUAAUUUGACUCAACACGGGGAAACUCACCCGGCCUGGACACAAUAAGGAUUGACAGAUUGAUAGCUCUUUCUUGAUUUUGUGGGUGGUGGUGCAUGGCCGUUCUUAGUUGGUGGAGCGAUUUGUCUGGUUAAUUCCGAUAACGAACGAGACUCUAGCCUAUUAAAUAGACGAUAUAUUAUUAGUUUAUCGAGCUUCUUAGAGGGACAGGCAGCUUCUAGCUGCACGAGAUUGAGCAAUAACAGGUCUGUGAUGCCCUUAGAUGUCCGGGGCUGCACGCGCGCUACAAUGAUAAUAGCAGCGUGCAUUAAAACCUUUUCUGGUAAGAAUUGGUAAACACGAAAUAUUGUCGUGCUUGGGAUAGGGGAUUGAAAUUAUUGCCCUUAAACGAGGAAUUCCCAGUAAGUGCGAGUCAUUAGCUUGCGUUGAUUACGUCCCUGCCCUUUGUACACACCGCCCGUCGCUACUACCGAUUGGAAGAUUUAGUGAAU
rnacentral:rRNA from 1 species